rnacentral:lncRNA from 1 species
CAGACUGUGAUAACUGAUAGUGGAUGUGUGUUGACUGCUGUUUUUUCCCCAUCUCCCACAGUGCUCCAUCUCUGUUCAGGAGCUUCUCACCAAGUACCCUAAACCAGUUUUUCAUCAACUGUUUCUUCGACACCAUGACAACGACGGAACAGUAAUGGUGUGGCCAAUCCCCAUUCAAAGUCAAAUUUCAGAGUCCAGAACCUCAGUCCAUAGUGUGCAGAGGUUCUUCCUGGUGGAUGGACUCACAGGCAGAGCAGACAGCUUGAUGUCACCACCCAGAUCCGUUCACUACCUCAGCUCUCUCAUGUUCAGUGUGCAUAUCCCGACCAGCAGCCCGGGAGCCAAACCGCCUCUCCAGGUCAGCCUUCAGUACAGGACAGCCAGAGUGGCAGACGAGGCCAGAGUCCAGGUGUCGUUUGCUGUGACGUACAGCAUGGAUGAGGUCUCCAUGCAUUUAGCCACCACUAUCUCAGUGGCAGUGCUGAGUGUUGUGGCCCUCCUGGUGACGCUGGUGGAGACAAGCAGCUGGAGUCGGAGAUCAGGACAGCAGACACUCAACUUCACAGUAGGUUUGGAUGUGGGUGUGUGUGUGUGUGGGGGGGGGGUAAUGCAUGUGUAUGUAUGUAUGUACAGUGCCCUCCACAAUUAUUGGCACCCCU